GAUGAACGCUGGCGGCGUGCCUAAUACAUGCAAGUAGAACGCUGAAGGAGGAGCUUGCUCUUCUGGAUGAGUUGCGCACGGGUGAGUAACGCGUAGGUAACCUGCCUGGUAGCGGGGGAUAACUAUUGGAAACGAUAGCUAAUACCGCAUGACAACAGUUAUUGCAUGAUAACUGUUUAAAAGGGGCAACUGCUCCACUACCAGAUGGACCUGCGUUGUAUUAGCUAGUUGGUGAGGUAACGGCUCACCAAGGCGACGAUACAUAGCCGACCUGAGAGGGUGAUCGGCCACACUGGGACUGGGACACGGCCCAGACUCCUACGGGAGGCAGCAGUAGGGAAUCUUCGGCAAUGGACGGAAGGCUGACCGAGCAACGCCGCGUGAGUGAAGAAGGUUUUCGGAUCGUAAAGCUCUGUUGUAAGAGAAGAACGAGUGUGAGAGGGGAAAGUUCACACUGUGACGGUAUCUUACCAGAAAGGGACGGCUAACUACGUG
rnacentral:rRNA from 1 species